GGCUUCGUGGUUCAGUGGUGAGGACACUUGCCUCUCAACCAGGAGUCCUGGGUUCGAUUCUCGGUCGAGGAGCUA